AAUCAUCCGGAUUCUCUAGGCGUCGAAUUAUCUUUCUGAAACAACAUCCCAAUGAUGAUCUCACAGAUAUUGAAACAAUAAAACAGUUGGAGAUUUUUUGUAUUUCAAAAAUUAUUAAUACCAGUAGCCAAAUCGGAGCUCGAAGCAGCACAUAACAUGACAACUCCCUUCGUCCAACGUGAUAGACCACAUGACAAUAUGC
rnacentral:lncRNA from 1 species